UAUGCUCGUGACUGGUACGAUUUCAUUGACCUAAUUUGAGAUUUGCGUUGUAUGCCAUUUUCUACAUUUUAUUUCUUGCAUGACUUGGUUUUUUACCCUCAUGUGAACAACUCGCAUUUCACCAGCGACGAUUUUAACCACAAGAGGGCCCUGUCACCCAAUUGUCGCCGUAUCCAAUGGAAGCAACACGACAGUCGAUUACAUUGCACCGCAAAACGCCGAAAGACCCAAUCGCCAAUCGCUUGGCAAUUUUCAAUUUUGUUAAAACGAAAUUUUUCUAAAAGAACAAAGAAGGAAUGGGCGCAAAAAAAUCCAUGAUGGCCGACCAUUUGCUUACCAGUCCUCCUUUUCUUAACAAAUGUUUGUCAGUCGCCAUGGAGAUGGAGUGUGGUCGAGUUCUGCUGAUUGAAUUGUGUCGGACUUUAUGUUCCUGUCAUCUUCCAUUAUUAGAAGCCAGUUGAAGAGCAAAGCAGGGAAGAGUACAUGCUCGUACGUCUUCUCAACUGUCCAACCGUGUCAUAAAAUAUUUGCAAACUUCUCUCUGCGAUCAAUGAAACGGAAAGUUUCACCAGUUCAGUUCACCAGAUCUUGGUGACUGGGACGGAUGAAAUCCCUAACCAAUUUCCCCCCCUUCUGACAACAGAUGUCAACACGUUGGAGCACAACAGGUGUCAAAAUACCAAAAGCGUCCAGCUGAUUGAUGAAUUUACCUCGAUGUUUUAUCAAAUGUGAUUUUAUAUUGCCAAAUCGA
rnacentral:lncRNA from 1 species